ensembl:lncRNA
AGGAUUUUAGAGAAAAUUUUUUUUUAUUACUUUCUUACUUGACAAUUAUACGACUUGACAUGUUAGAGUCACAGUCUUGUUAUUGUCAAAUAAAUGGAAAUAAUAAAAUACAAAUAUUAAAUGGAAAAAAAAAUGAAAAAUUGAAAUGAAUUGAAAUAAAAUAAGUUGAAUUGAUAGUACUAAAAUGACUAAAAACUAAAACUUUAAUAUUAAUAAUAAUUAUAAUAGUUUAUAAAUAACAUUAAAAUAAGUGAAUAAUUGUCAUUCAGUUUUCUAAAAAAAAAACAAAAAACAAGAUUAAUAGCUGAUCAUCUACAUAAUGUGAAAGAUACAGUCUAGCACACAAAUUCAUGGUUUCUUUUCAGUUUGGUGUGCGCUGGUCAUGCGGUGCAGUCAGUGUUGGUAGGUGGCUUAAAGCCAACGGCGCUAAUCAUGAUUGCCCGUGAAGUGGCUCUAAUCAUCUGUUCAGCUGCCACGGCUCUCCGGCUUGUUUGCACAAGUCAGCGACUCCGUGCGUGGUGUGUACAGACAAGAUAUUUGUAAUCGUAACUUCUUGAGAACUAGUUAAUGCAAACAUUACGGGAGGUUGCAUAUUAAUGCGAGCUUCUUCGCUAUAAAACAGACACUGUUCCUGAGUGAUUCAGGGUUAAUGAGGGGAGGCUGGAAAACACAUUUGCUUCUGGAGUCAGAGUUUAACCAGAAAACAUGGUUUCUGUUUGUUCAAUACUUUAAAAUGUGUCUUGAUAUUGAGAUUUUUUUUUUUUUUAACGGACAGUACUGGAUUCCUUGAUGUGUCCUCUACCCAGCAAGUUAGUGGGGCAAGAAAAUGUGAAUUAAAAAUACCUAAUUUCUUUCUUUCUCUCUCUUUCUCUCUCUCUCUCUUGGUCUGGCACAGUGACUGCAAAGUUUUGAAAAAGUAUCUGUUAAUUCCUCACUACUUGCUCUAUCACAACACUUUGAAAAGAACAAGGGGGUUGGGCGGGAGGAAUCCAUGGCUGACAACACGUUUCCCGUGUGACACUUAACCUGUGGAGCUUUCGGAUUCUCUCUGAUCAUUCAGUGUUUGGUACAUGUUAAUUAACCCUAGGGCAUAGUAGAGCUUUACAGCUUUGAAGAAGGAAAUAUCAGAGACAUCAAGAGGUAAGAUAAAAAAGGAAGAGACAAAAAAUAUCUUUCUCACUAGCAGUUGUUUUUCCAUGCAUACUCGGCUUACUGUAUUCUUGACUGGUUUGAUUCGGCUGAGGAACGUGCAGUUGUUACGUUUGAAAGCACAGUGUUCUUGAAGGUAUGUUGCAAGGAUAUAGAAGAGAAAGCUAUACGUCAAACUCUCCAUCAGAGCUUUGUAAGCGCCCUUA